rnacentral:rRNA from 1 species
GAUGAACGCUGGCGGCGUGCCUAAUACAUGCAAGUCGAGCGAACGGACGAGAAGCUUGCUUCUCUGAUGUUAGCGGCGGACGGGUGAGUAACACGUGGAUAACCUACCUAUAAGACUGGGAUAACUUCGGGAAACCGGAGCUAAUACCGGAUAAUAUUUUGAACCGCAUGGUUCAAAAGUGAAAGACGGUCUUGCUGUCACUUAUAGAUGGAUCCGCGCUGCAUUAGCUAGUUGGUAAGGUAACGGCUUACCAAGGCAACGAUGCAUAGCCGACCUGAGAGGGUGAUCGGCCACACUGGAACUGAGACACGGUCCAGACUCCUACGGGAGGCAGCAGUAGGGAAUCUUCCGCAAUGGGCGAAAGCCUGACGGAGCAACACCGCGUGAGUGAUGAAGGUCUUCGGAUCGUAAAACUCUGUUAUUAGGGAAGAACAUAUGUGUAAGUAACUGUGCACAUCUUGACGGUACCUAAUCAGAAAGCCACGGCUAACUACGUG